rnacentral:rRNA from 1 species
CCUACGAGUGGCAGCAGUGAGGAAUAUUGGUCAAUGGACGAGAGUCUGAACCAGCCAAGUAGCGUGAAGGAUGACUGCCCUAUGGGUUGUAAACUUCUUUUAUAUGGGCAUCAAAUGUUCCACGUGUGGGAUUUUGUCUGUACCAUAUGAAUAAGGAUCGGCUAACUCCGUGCCAUCAGCCGCGGUAAUACGGAGGAUCCGAGCGUUAUCCGGAUUUAUUGGGUUUAAAGGGAGCGUAUGUGGAUUGUUGAGUCAGUUGUUAAAGUUUGCGGGUAAAUCGUAAAAUUGCAGUUGAAACUGGCAGUCUUGAGUACAGUAGAGGUGGGCGGAAUUCGUAGUGUAGCGGUGAAAUGCUUAGAUAUCACGAAGAACUCCGAUUGCGAAGGCAGCUCACUGGACUGCAACUGACACUGAGGCUCGAAAGUGUGGGUAUCAAACAGGAUUAGAUACCCGGGUAGUC